UACGGAGGGAGCUAGCGUUGUUCGGAUAUACUGGGCGUAAAGCGCACGUAGGCGGCGCAGCAAGUCAGGGGUGAAAUCCCGGAGCUCAACUCCGGAACUGCCUUUGAAACUGCAGUGCUAGAGUCCUGGAGAGGCGAGUGGAAUUCCGAGUGUAGAGGUGAAAUUCGUAGAUAUUCGGAAGAACACCAAUUGCGAAGGCAGCUUACUAAACAGUUAUUGACGCUGAGGCACGAAAGCGUGGGGAUCAAACAGG
rnacentral:rRNA from 1 species